rnacentral:rRNA from 1 species
AACGAACGCUGGCGGCAUGCCUAACACAUGCAAGUCGAACGAAGGCUUCGGCCUUAGUGGCGCACGGGUGCGUAACGCGUGGGAACCUGCCCCUCGGUUCGGAAUAACAGUUAGAAAUGACUGCUAAUACCGGAUGAUGACUUCGGUCCAAAGAUUUAUCGCCGAGGGAUGGGCCCGCGUAGGAUUAGCUAGUUGGUGGGGUAAAGGCCUACCAAGGCGACGAUCCUUAGCUGGUCUGAGAGGAUGAUCAGCCACACUGGGACUGAGACACGGCCCAGACUCCUACGGGAGGCAGCAGUGGGGAAUAUUGGACAAUGGGCGAAAGCCUGAUCCAGCAAUGCCGCGUGAGUGAUGAAGGCCUUAGGGUUGUAAAGCUCUUUUACCAGGGAUGAUAAUGACAGUACCUGGAGAAUAAGCUCCGGCUAACUCCGUGCCAGCAGCCGCGGU